AUCCCGUCUCCAGCCCUUUUCUUUCUUUCUCUCUCUCUUCCUCCCACCCAUCCCCCUCUCCAGCCCCCUCUCAUACUCCAGUCAAAGCUCUCUGCCGCCUGAAGCUCCAUCGUGGCCUCCUCGGCCAGACAGCCACUCCACCACUCCCGUGAAUUGUAUGAUGCUUCUCUGUUGGGGUUAUUUGGACAUCCACGCUUGCAGGUUCUAGACGCGAGGAUGGAAAUCAUGGAAUCGAUGAAUCUAACCCAGUAUGCGUGUGUCCAUUGCACCGUCGUUCUCCCCGUAUAAAUGUGCGAAGAAAAGCUUCGUCUUCAAGAUUCAUUCUCUCGCGGAACGUUAAUUCAUUCGUUCAAAUGGAAGAGGUGGAGGAUCAAAGGCUCCCAUCAUCGGAGACCAAUCAGGCAGAUCGGACUGCAGAGGCGGAGGUGGAGUUCCCUCCGAGUCUCACCGAGUUGGACCUCUCCGCCAAUCGCCUCUUUGCUUUGGACCCUUGGAUUGGCCAUCUCUCCGCCAGAACCUGUUCGAGGACGCCGUCGUCGAGUGCCUCUCCCGCUGGGACCGCAUUUCAGGCCUCGAGUAAAGCGCUCUGUUCGGUUGGAUUCACUAAAACAAAGUUGGAGGAUGGAUUGGCAUGACGAAAGAUGAUCGAAUGGAUGGUUAUGUGGCGAAUGAACUGGUGGUGACGGCGAAUAUUGUGCCUUUAGGCACGGGUACAUGCUAGAAUUCUCACUUCUCUCUAAUCCUAAAGUUGGCAGGGGGCGAUGGCGGUCCGAGAUGAGAGGUGUGUGUGUGUGUGGGGGGGGGGGGGGGGGUGAGGCAGUUCGAGCGACUAAUAGAGGGGCAUGACGGAUGAUGCUUGCGGCAAGGGGCCAAGAACGACAAAUGUUGUACGUGACAGGUGGGGCGGCGGUGCUCGCAGAAGUGGUAGGGCGACAGUUUGAGAGAGAGAGUGUGUUGGGUUUGAGAGAAAGAGAGAGAGAGAGUGACAAUGGGCAGUUGCGACGAGAAGAACCAGAUCCAGCGAGGAGAAGCAGUGCAACUACACUGGAGAAGAAGCAGCUACGACUACCAGCAACAACGGCUCUAGCAAUGGUGGUGGCGACGGCUCCCUCCUCCAACAUCCAGCGACUGCCUCUUUAAUAUGAAUUUGCGAAAUUUGGGUUUGUAAUUUUUAUUUAUGUAUUUUAUAUAAAUUUUGCAUAUAUUAAAGUAUUGAGUUUUAGUUAUAUUUUGAUUAAUUUGUGUAUUUGAUUA